rnacentral:rRNA from 1 species
AGAGUUUGAUCCUGGCUCAGGAUGAACGCUGGCGGCGUGCUUAACACAUGCAAGUCGAACGGAGUUAUUUUUUAAGCUUGCUUUUAAAAUAACUUAUUGGAGGACGGGUGAGAAACGCGAGGGUAACCUGCCGAAUACGGGGGGAUAACGCUGAUAAAUAGGUGCUAAUACCGCAUAAGCGCACAGGAACCCAUGGACUGGUGUGAAAAAGUCCAGAGGCAUACGAGGGACCCGAGUCAGAUUAGAUAGAUGGUGAGGUAACGGCCCACCAGGUCAACCAUCGGUACCCGGCCUGAGAGGGUGAACAGGCACAUUGGGACUGAUACGCGGCCCACACUCCUACGAGAGGCAGCAGAGGGGAAUAUGGGACAAUGGGGGAAACCCUGAUCCACCUACGCCGCGUGAGUGAAGAAAUAUAUCAGUGUGUAAAGCUCUAUCAGCACGGAAGAUAAUGACGAUACCUGACUAACAAGCUCCGGAUAAAUACGUGCCAUCCGCCGCGGUAAUACCUAUGGAGCAAGCGUUAUCCGGAUUUACUGGAUGUAAAGGGAGCGUAGACGAGCAUGGGAAGUCUGAUGUGAAAAUCCCGGGCUCAACCCGGGAACUGCAUUGAGAAACUGUUAAGCUAGAGUGCACGAGAGGUAAGUGGAAUUCCUAGAGUAGCGGAGAAAUGCGUAGAUAUUAGGAGGAACACCAAUGGGCGAAGGCGGCUUACUGGUCUGUAACUGACGUUGAGGCUGGAAAGCGUGGGGAGCAAACAGGAUCAGAUACCCAGGUAGUCCUCGCCGUAACCGAUGAAUACUAGGUGUCGGGGGUUUAUGAACCUUCGGUUCCGCAGCAAACGCAAUAAGUAUUCCACUUGGGGAGUACGUUCGCAUGAAUGAAACUCAAAUGAAUUGACGGGGACCCGCACAAGCGGUGGAGCAUGUGGUUUAAUUCGAAGCAACGCGAAGAACCUUACCAAGUCUUGACAUCCCAUUGACCGGGACUUAAUCGUCUUUUUUGUUCGGAACAAUCGAGACAGGUGGUGCAUGGUUGUUGUCAGCUUGUGUUGUGAGAUGUUGGGUUAAGUCCCGCAACGAGCGCCACCCCUGUCCUUAGUAGCCAGCCGUUAGAUGGGCCCUUUAGGGAGACUGCCCGGGAUCACCGGGAGGAAGGGGGGGAUGACGUCAAAUCAUCAUGCCCCUUAUGAUUUGGGCUACACACGUGCUACAAUGGCGUAAACAAAGGGAAGCGAGACUGUGAAGUUAAGCAAAUCUCAUAAAUAACGUCUCAGUUCGGAUUGUAGUCUGCAACUCGCCUCCAUGAAGCUGGAAUCGCUAGUAAUCGCGGAUCAGCAUGCCGCGGUGAAUACGUUCCCGGGUCUUGCACUCACCGCCCGUCA